rnacentral:rRNA from 1 species
CAGAAACUUAAAGGAAUUGACGGGGCCCGCACAAGCGGUGGAGUAUGUGGUUUAAUUCGAUGCAACGCGAAGAACCUUACCUGGUCUUGACAUCCCAGAAAUCCCUUGGAAACUUGGGAGUGCUUCCAUUAGGAAGAAUCUGGAGACAGGUGCUGCAUGGCUGUCGUCAGCUCGUGUCGUGAGAUGUUGGGUUAAGUCCCGCAACGAGCGCAACCCUUGCCUUUAGUUGCCAGCAGUUCGGCUGGGCACUCUAAAGGGACUGCCGGUGUUAAACCGGAGGAAGGUGGGGAUGACGUCAAGUCCUCAUGGCCUUUAUGACCAGGGCUACACACGUACUACAAUGGCCGAUACAAAGGGCAGCGACAUCGCGAGGUGAAGCCAAUCCCAUAAAAUCGGUCUCAGUCCGGAUUGGAGUCUGCAACUCGACUCCAUGAAGUUGGAAUCGCUAGUAAUCGUGGAUCAGCAUGCCACGGUGAAUACGUUCCCGGGCCUU